rnacentral:rRNA from 1 species
GUCUACGGCCAUGACCACUGAAUAAGACUGAUCCGGUCUGAUCUCAGAAGCUAAGCAGGGUCGAGCCUGGUUAGUACUUGGAUGCAAGACCAUCUAUGAAGACUAGGAGCUGUAGGUA